GGGGCUAUAGCUCAGUGGCACAGCCCCUGCCUGGCAAGCAGGAGGUUGUGAGUUUGAUUCCCAGCACCA
rnacentral:tRNA from 1 species